AUGAACGCUGGCGGCGUGCCUAAUACAUGCAAGUCGAGCGAACAGACGAGGAGCUUGCUCCUCUGACGUUAGCGGCGGACGGGUGAGUAACACGUGGAUAACCUACCUAUAAGACUGGGAUAACUUCGAGAAACCGGAGCUAAUACCGGAUAAUAUAUUGAACCGCAUGGUUCAAUAGUGAAAGACGGUUUUGCUGUCACUUAUAGAUGGAUCCGCGCCGCAUUAGCUAGUUGGUAAGGUAACGGCUUACCAAGGCAACGAUGCGUAGCCGACCUGAGAGGGUGAUCGGCCACACUGGAACUGAGACACGGUCCAGACUCCUACGGGAGGCAGCAGUAGGGAAUCUUCCGCAAUGGGCGAAAGCUUGACGGAGCAACGCCGCGUGAGUGAUGAAGGUCUUCGGAUCGUAAAACUCUGUUAUUAGGGAAGAACAAAUGUGUAAGUAACUAUGCACGUCUUGACGGUACCUAAUCAGAAAGCCACGGCUAACUACGUG
rnacentral:rRNA from 1 species